rnacentral:misc_RNA from 1 species
GCAAACUUGGUCAUUUAGAGGAAGUAAAAGUCGUAACAAGGUUUCCGUAGGUGAACCUGCGGAAGGAUCAUUAUCGAGUCCAAAUCCGGCCUUCUCUCUGGCUGUGCAUUCACUUGCACGCCGGAGGGGCGCGUCGGCUCUUUGACUUUCACACACACCUGUGCACCCUUCGGCUCGUCGCAAGGCGGACCGUCUUUUUUUUACACCCUUCUUCGUAUGUCCUAGAAUUUUUUUCGGCAGCUCUGUGAUGGAGCGGUCGGCGAUAAACAAAUACAACUUUCAGCAACGGAUCUCUUGGCUCUCCCAUCGAUGAAGAACGCAGC